rnacentral:lncRNA from 1 species
GAAGAGAAGAGAAGAAGAGAAAGAGGAAAGAAGAAGGGGAGUGAAAGAAGGGAAGAAGAAAAAGAAGUCAUGGAAGUCAACAUCAUUACCAUCUUCUCAUGUCAAUUUCUCCAUCGUCUCCAUGUAAUAAGGUGGGUUCUUGAUAGAAUUUAGCUUUUGGGGGAAAUAAUCCAUGUGUGGGAAACUAGGGUUUUAUGUUGUUGUUGUUGUUGUAUGCUCAUGAAAUGAGGACAUUGUCGUUGUUCUUGCUCCUAUAUUAUUGUUGUUCUUACUCCUAUGUGGUUGUUGUUGUCUUUGAUUCUAUGGUUGCAUAUGUGUGUUGUUCCAUGAAGUUAUUCCACAUAAUCCCUUGAUUGGUGUGAGUUUAUCAUAACCUAUGUUUUAGAAUGGUUUAGUGUGAUUAAAAUUGGAAGAAGAGAUGAUUAGAAGAUGAAUUUGUGAAAAAAAAGAGUGGAACAAUCGAUUGGUCACAUGUUUUGUUGUCAAACAAUUGAUUGGCCUUCUUGCAAGGGGAGAAAAAAUUGGUUUUCCACUAUGACAAUCAAUUGGUCCACCAUCCCAAUCGAUUGGUCCUGCCAAAUUUUGUGAAAAUGCUUUACAGAACCUCCAUACAAUUGAUUUUCUCAAGAACCAAUUGAUUGGCUCUUCCUUGUUUUUCCUAAAACCACUUGUUUCAUAUUUCUAAGUCACCUUGGAUAUACUAUAACUUGUAUCAUAAUGUGUAUGCAUUAGAUUAACAUUAAUCAGUCGAAUUAUAUGAGUUUGGGUGUGUUUUAACCUAGGGACUCGAUUAGGUUAUAAUGAUCGAUUAAUGAGUCUCGUAACUCAGAAUGAGUGUGAAUGGAUGUGUUAGGAAGCUAACGUAAAGGUUUAUGAUAUAGAGAAAUGUCUCCAUGACUUAUUCCACUAAAGUUUUCCCUUUUAGUCUGAUUAUCCCCACCAUGGUAUGAUCGGAUGGACGUUUGUCUUAUGACGUGAAAGUGGAAUAAGAUAGAUUGAGGUUGAUUAUGUAAUAGCUUUGACUAUGAUUGUUACAACAUGUUAUCUUAUCAUGUGUGCUUUAUGUAUGUUAUGAAUCAUAUUAUGAUACAUGAUAUAUAUUUUUGGUUGUUAUGUUUGUGUAUGUAUGCAUAACAUGAUUAAAAGCUUAUGAUGUUGGGUGAGGAAACCUUAGGAGUAUAACUCGAUUAAUGACUUAGAAAGAUACCUUAAGUAGUGAAAUAACUAAAGUAGUGAUGAUUGGAUGCAAAGGUACCUUUGUGUGUAUCGCAGUCUCGCAGACAAGUAAUCAUUUGAUUAAUGAAUCAAUAUGCAUUAUGUGAACAUGUGGAAUAUGUGAAUGGGGGGAUAUGAUCACCCGAUAUUUUGAUUGAAAUAUAUGAGAGUUGGUGAAUGUAUCACCUAGUAUUUGAUGAAUACCAUGAGGAAUGGGUUUGACAUUUUGGUGAGGAGAUUUACUCCGAAAGUUUUAUUGUUGAUGAGAACUAAGCAUGUAUUCCGAUAGUGAUGUGCACAUACCAUUUCAGAGGCUUAUGUAAAGUGGUAAAUAGGGAUGUGACACUAAUGAUUCGUGCCUCAAUUGGGUUUGAGUCCCAACCAUGGAGGACAUGGGAGAAAUGUGGACACCUAACUGGAUUUGAGCCCCAUAUGGUGAAAGAUACUCUAAUUGGGUUUGAGUCACAUACGAGUGAUGGUCGCUUGAACUGGGUUUGAGUCCCAUAAGAGGGCCUGAUAUCCACCAUGAAAUUCGAAUCAUAAGAGCAUGUGUGAAUCGAGUCUGACCUAGACGUAGGUCCGUUUGGGGAUUGAUGUUUCGUGGCUUCCGAAUAGAUUUUGACUGAGUUAUGAGAACUCAGGUGAUUUGUUUCCAUACAUUGCGGAUAUUCCUUAGACAAUUAAGUCUUGGUUACCUGGUGUAAGUGAUGCACAAGUAACAAGAUGAAGACUUGAGUUAGAAAUCGAUUAGAAACCCUAUAGAACAGAGUGGAUCCAUAGGAUAAGAGAACUCACUGAGAUUAUCAUCUCACCCCAAUAUCAUUGUUGUUUUCCAGGUGUUAUUUGCAGGUGUUAUGCUAGAGAGAAGUUGGUUGAUAUUUCAAAGGAUUCUGACUAUUGUGUUAUUCCGUUGUGGAUUUGUGUACAAUGAAGAUAUUAUACAUAGUUCAUAGAUUUUAUUUUAAGCUUUGUUGUAUAAUAAUAGAUGUAGUUGUAUUUUGUUAGUUGAACAUGUGUAUAUAAUAAUGCCGUUAAACACUUAUGUUGUAUCAGUA